rnacentral:lncRNA from 1 species
UGAUAAGAUAAAGUAUCGUUUUUUCCAAGAGAUUCGUAUGACUUUUUCUUUCGCGUGAAUUAAAAUAAUAAGACUUGAAAAAUAAAAUUUAAUAAUUUGGAUUUUGAGGAUAAAAAUAUUAACAUGCAAAAUAAAUGUUGAUUCAAUUGACAAGUGAAAACAAUGGAUGGAUGAAUGUUGUUGGGUAUUAACAAUUUCAUCUAUUCCACUCUCUCUCUUACAUAUUACCCUUAAUUAUUAGAUUGAUUAAAUUGUUAUGCGACUUUCUUAGCCUCCCCUUAACCCGAUCCCUCGGCGAAAAGGGCCUAAUAUCAAUUUACCGGCUGGCUAUCCCUAGCCUCCCCUUAACCCGAUCCCUCGGCGAAAAGGGCCUAAUAUCAAUUACCGGCUUGCUAUCCCUAGCCUCCCCUAGUAAUUAAUACCGCAUUAUAAACAGAAGUUAGCGCAAUUGAUCGUCCUACCCCUAUCCCUAAGUGGUAUUGCAAAAUCAAGAGAUUACUCACCAGCUCAUGUCAUCAUCGCACGUCCCCAUGUCAAUAACGACAAACAACAAUAUACCGAAUGAGUUAAACGAUAAAAGCCUUAAGCACAGAUGAUAACCCAACAAUAAUCAAUCAAAACAUAUGGAGACCAUAUAAAAUAAUCAAUAGUUUCAAUAAGAGAGAGUAUCAAAAGAUUACAUUGUAUUCCCCAACAACAAUAGGGUUUAGUUCACCAUGGACAUGGUGAACUUAGAUGAAAAAUGGAAGAAGAAUGAAAGAGCAAACCCUAGAAAAGAUGAAAAGGAGCCUAAGCAUCCAAGAGAUCCUCUCCAGAGAGCAAAAUUAGGUGUGGCCGUCUUCCCUUGUCAAAAGAAUGACUCUGAAUUCGUAGUAGGGGUAUUUACGUCAAAAUCAGGCCCAAGUCCAGCGUGCCACUGCCGGGCGGUUCAAGUGUGCCGCCUUGCGGUUUCCCAUAACCUGCCACCGC